rnacentral:rRNA from 1 species
AGUGAACGCUGGCGGCGUGCUUAACACAUGCAAGUCGAACGAGAACGGGUUAUAGCUUGCUAUAAUUGUCAGCUAAGUGGCGCACGGGUGAGUAAUGUAUAGGUAAUAUGCCUCUUACUAAGGGAUAACAAAUGGAAACGUUUGCUAAUACCUUAUACUCCUUAUUAACAGAAGUUAAUAAGGGAAAGAUUUAUUGGUAAGAGAUUAGCCUGUAUUGUAUCAGUUAGUUGGUGAGGUAAUGGCUUACCAAGACUAUGACACAUAACUGGUUUGAGAGGAUGAUCAGUCACACUGGAACUGAGACACGGUCCAGACUCCUACGGGAGGCAGCAGUGGGGAAUAUUGCACAAUGGACGAAAGUCUGAUGCAGCAACGCCGCGUGGAGGAUGACACAUUUCGGUGCGUAAACUCCUUUUAUAUGAGAAGAUAAUGACGGUAUUAUAUGAAUAAGCACCGGCUAACUCCGUGCCAGCAGCAGCCGCGG